rnacentral:rRNA from 1 species
CUGGUUGAUUCUGCCAGAGGUUACUGCUAUCGGUGUUCGCCUAAGCCAUGCGAGUCAUAUGUUCUUCGUGAACAUGGCGUACUGCUCAGUAACACGUGGAUAACCUGCCCUUGGGUCCGGCAUAACCCCGGGAAACUGGGGAUAAUUCUGGAUAACGCAUAUAUGCUGGAAUGCUUUAUGUGUCAAAUGGAUUCGUCCGCCCAAGGAUGGGUCUGCGGCCUAUCAGGUAGUAGUGGGUGUAAUGUACCUACUAGCCUACAACGGGUACGGGUUGUGAGAGCAAGAGCCCGGAGAUGGAUUCUGAGACAUGAAUCCAGGCCCUACGGGGCGCAGCAGGCGCGAAAACUUUACAAUGCGGGAAACCGUGAUAAGGGGACACCGAGUGCUAGCAUCAUAUGCUGGCUGUCCAGGUGUGUAAAAUACACCUGUUAGCAAGGGCCGGGCAAGACCGGUGCCAGCCGCCGCGGUAACACCGGCGGCCCGAGUGGUGAUCGUGAUUAUUGGGUCUAAAGGGUCCGUAGCCGGUUUGGUCAGUCCUCCGGGAAAUCUGAUAGCUUAACUAUUAGGCUUUCGGGGGAUACUGCCAGACUUGGAACCGGGAGAGGUAAGAGGUACUACAGGGGUAGGAGUGAAAUCUUGUAAUCCCUGUGGGACCACCUGUGGCGAAGGCGUCUUACCAGAACGGGUUCGACGGUGAGGGACGAAAGCUGGGGGCACGAACCGGAUUAGAUACCCGGGUAGUCCCAGCCGUAAACGAUGCUCGCUAGGUGUCAGGCAUGGCGCGACCGUGUCUGGUGCCGCAGGGAAGCCGUGAAGCGAGCCACCUGGGAAGUACGGCCGCAAGGCUGAAACUUAAAGGAAUUGGCGGGGGAGCACAACAACGGGUGGAGCCUGCGGUUUAAUUGGAUUCAACGCCGGA